AUUGAACGCUGGCGGCAUGCCUUACACAUGCAAGUCGAACGGCAGCACGGGUGCUUGCACCUGGUGGCGAGUGGCGAACGGGUGAGUAAUACAUCGGAACAUGUCCUGUAGUGGGGGAUAGCCCGGCGAAAGCCGGAUUAAUACCGCAUACGAUCCACGGAUGAAAGCGGGGGACCUUCGGGCCUCGCGCUAUAGGGUUGGCCGAUGGCUGAUUAGCUAGUUGGUGGGGUAAAGGCCUACCAAGGCGACGAUCAGUAGCUGGUCUGAGAGGACGACCAGCCACACUGGGACUGGGACACGGCCCAGACUCCUACGGGAGGCAGCAGUGGGGAAUUUUGGACAAUGGGCGAAAGCCUGAUCCAGCAAUGCCGCGUGUGUGAAGAAGGCCUUCGGGUUGUAAAGCACUUUUGUCCGGAAAGAAAUCCUUGACUCUAAUACAGUCGGGGGAUGACGGUACCGGAAGAAUAAGCACCGGCUAACUACGUG
rnacentral:rRNA from 1 species